UACAGAGGUCUCAAGCGUUGUUCGGAUUCAUUGGGCGUAAAGGGUGCGUAGGUGGCGUGGUAAGUCGGGUGUGAAAUUUCGGAGCUUAACUCCGAAACUGCAUUCGAUACUGCCGUGCUUGAGGACUGGAGAGGAGACUGGAAUUUACGGUGUAGCAGUGAAAUGCGUAGAGAUCGGGAGGAACACCAGAGGCGAAGGCGCCUAGCUGGACAGAUACUGACACUCAACAACGAAAGCGUGGGGAGCAAACAGG
rnacentral:rRNA from 1 species